rnacentral:lncRNA from 1 species
AUUAGAAUUUAUUGCAUAAUAAUUAGUCAUACUUUCAUAAAAAUUAAUUUCGAACUCAAACCCUCUCCAUUAUAUUUGUUAGAAUAAACAUAAUCAACAAACUAUUUUGUUCUGGAGAAAAAAUGAAGCUGAUGUCUGUAUUUGUUGACAUUUUACAACAUCGCCAACUUAGAGUCAAUAAAAACGUGCUCAAGAGAAAGUUGAGGGGAGCAGAUCUUAUAAGACCUUUAAAAAAAAUGAAGUGAGAGUAUUUUCUUUUUCAGUAUUUACCUAGUCAUCCAUACGUCCCUUCGUUCUUGUUUUUCUCUAUUCAUGUUUGUCCCUUGAACUCCUUAUCUCGCUAAUCCUUUCCUCUGAAUGCUCUUAUUUUAUCUCUUGCUCCACUGUUUUCCUCUAGGUCAUCUGUGUCUCUCUGCUCGCCAGGUCAGGUUCCCCAGGCUUGUCUUGGCCCCCUGACCCCUCCUUCCUCUCCCAGAGCUGUGUUUCCCCUGCUUCUCAUUUGCCGCCCAGCAACCUGAACAGAACAAUACUGGAAGUGGAACUGGCACUGACAAAAAGGAGAGCAACUGGAAAGAAAACUUUACUCAUCAAGACAGAGCAACUGAGAGCCUGUAUGUACCAUUUGAAGCCUGAUGAUCUUCCAAUUCUAAGGGGGACUUCAUAAUACUCACAAUCAUGCAUAGCUCUUGGCACUUCCAAGGAUGAAUGUGUUUGGCUGUGACAUGACUCCAGUGUCCUGGCCAGAAUUGCUUGGAACAAAGAUGAACCCUGACCAGGAACUGUGUCAUUUAAUAUAUUACUGCACAGAAAAAGAUUGGAGGGAACCCAUGCAAGUCUAAGACGCACACUGCUAUUGCUCAGGUUUGUGAUUUUUUUUAAUGCUUUAUUUGGCUGCACUGGGUCAUAGUUGUGGUAAUUGGGAUCUUCCGUCAUCAUUGUGGCAUUAAGGAUCCUUUUUACUUUCUGCAUGCCAGAUCUAGUUUCCUGAUCAGGAAUCGAACCCAAGCCCCUGCACUGGAAGGACCAAGUCUUAGCAACUGGACAACCAAGGAAGACCCAGUUUUGUGAAUUUUAACUACUUUAGAUACUCUUCAGGUGAGUGGGGUGGCGCACAUGCAUUUGUUUAACUCCUACACUGCACUAGAUAAGUUAAUUAUAACAUUUUAAGACUGGAUUUC